AAAGUGAGCACAUGCACAAAUUGUUUCAACAGCCAAGGGGAGAGAUUACCAGGAGGCAGAAAACAAAAGGUCCCUGGGAAGGACUGAGGAGGUCAUCGUAGCCCCGUCUACACGAGUAGGCUCCACACCCCACGUGGGCCUUCACCCCAAGGCCCUGAGAUGGAGGGUUGCAUCGUCUCCUGGCUGAGCUGGCUCGGCACCCCUUUCUGACAGGCAUAUGCUCAUUACAAAGCAUUUGUUGAGGAAGAGGACUAAAGCCGAAAAUAAUAAAAUCAUAAAUCACCCAGCACCUGGGCUCCGCUCUCCUGCCUGAGAUGUUCUCGCUCAACCAGGAUUCUGUGCCAACGUCGGCCGCACCCGGUGCUGGAUGGAGCAACGUUCCUGGAGCUUCCUGCAGGGCUUGGCUCAGCCCCAGGUUGGGGGUGACCCCCGGAAAACCAGAAAGCCCGUGCAUCCUUUGCUCACUGGUCGGCUCUGGGCUGGUAACCUGAGGACUCGGCUGCUGCCACUUUUUUUUCAUCUUUUCCCUGGACUUACCCCUUCAGUCCCCAUCACUGAGUUGGGAAGCUUGAUGAGCAUUUUUAGAGACUGAGCAAAACCAUGCUGGAAUCUUCUGUUUCCCUUCUUGGUACCCUACGCCACUUUCAUGGCAAUGGUAUGAAGCUGUACCUCUUUCUUUCUUUGGGUCUUUCUUUCCAGUCAAUUACUUUUUUCCUGGUGUUUAUUAUAUUUUGUCCAUUCCUUGAGGAAAUAGAUAAGAGAGAGAUUCUAUGCACUGAAUUAGCCAUCAAAAAAAAAACAAAAA